UGGGGAAUAUUGGACAAUGGGCGCAAGCCUGAUCCAGCCAUGCCGCGUGAGUGAUGAAGGCCCUAGGGUUGUAAAGCUCUUUCACCGGUGAAGAUAAUGACGGUAACCGGAGAAGAAGCCCCGGCUAACUUCGUGCCAGCACCCGCGGUAAUACGAAGGGGGCUAGCGUUGUUCGGAUUUACUGGGCGGAAAGCGCACGUAGGCGGAGUUUUAAGUCGGGGGUGAAAACCCGGGGCUCAACCCCGGAACUGCCUCUGAUACUGGAAGUCUUGAGGAUGGUAGAGGUGGGUGGAAUUCCGAGUGUAGAGGUGAAAUUCGUAGAUAUUCGGAGGAACACCAGUGGCGAAGGCGGCUCACUGGACCAUUACUGACGCUGAGGUGCGAAAGCGUGGGGAGCAAACAGG
rnacentral:rRNA from 1 species